UAGGGAAUCUUCCGCAAUGGGCGAAAGCUUGACGGAGCAACGCCGCGUGAGUGAUGAAGGUCUUCGGAUCGUAAAACUCUGUUAUUAGGGAAGAACAAAUGUGUAAGUAACUAUGCACGUCUUGACGGUACCUAAUCAGAAAGCCACGGCUAACUACGUGCCAGCAGCCGCGGUAAUACGUAGGUGGCAAGCGUUAUCCGGAAUUAUUGGGCGUAAAGCGCGCGUAGGCGGUUUUUUAAGUCUGAUGUGAAAGCCCACGGCUCAACCGUGGAGGGUCAUUUGAAACUGGAAAACUUGAGUGCAGAAGAGGAAAGUGGAAUUCCAUGUGUAGCAGUGAAAUGCGCAGAGAUAUGGAGGAACACCAGUGGCGAAGGCGACUUUCUGGUCUGUAACUGACGCUGAUGUGCGAAAGCGUGGGGAGCAAACAGG
rnacentral:rRNA from 1 species